GACGAACGCUGGCGGCGUGCUUAACACAUGCAAGUCGAACGGAAAGGCCCUGCUUUUGUGGGGUGCUCGAGUGGCGAACGGGUGAGUAACACGUGAGUAACCUGCCCUUGACUUUGGGAUAACUUCAGGAAACUGGGGCUAAUACCGGAUAGGAGCUCCUGCUGCAUGGUGGGGGUUGGAAAGUUUCGGCGGUUGGGGCUGGACUCGCGGCUUAUCAGCUUGUUGGUGGGGUAGUGGCUUACCAAGGCUUUGACGGGUAGCCGGCCUGAGAGGGUGACCGGCCACAUUGGGACUGAGAUACGGCCCAGACUCCUACGGGAGGCAGCAGUGCGGAAUAUUGCACGAUGGGCGGAAGCCUGAUGCAGCAACGCCGCGUGCGGGAUGACGGCCUUCGGGUUGUAAACCGCUUUCGCCUGUGACGAAGCGUGAGUGACGGUAAUGGGUAAAGAAGCACCGGCUAACUACGUG
rnacentral:rRNA from 1 species